UUAAGUGUGGGGCCCCUCAAAUUUGGUGGCCCUAGUCCUUUGACCCUUCAUUCAUGAAGAAGGACCGGCCCUGUGUAGGGGAAGGGUGAUAUGUUUAAAGUAUAGUCUACAAAUAAACUGUUUUCAUUCCCCCAUAGAGAGGAGACUGUUUCAUUGAGGAAGCGUUUACUUUUCAUAAUUGAGUAUUUUUAUCCUUAUUACUAUGAUUUCUCUAAUCCCAUCCUCUCAAUAGGAUAUGAAUUAGCUCAAAUGAUAGAAAUAAUCACAGACUUUGGGAUAUCCCAAAGCUCCAAACCAUCUAUACUGUUUUUAUCUCUCUAGGCUCAUCCUCAAAAGGAAGUGCCCCUGAAUGAAUAAAACAACGUUCAAGAUCAAGUUGGAGUCUGGUUUUGUGUUGAUUAAUGAUGAAGAGCAAACUGAUACCUUGAGAAUUAUACUGCAGUGCAGUGCAUAAGCUCAUUGCCAUUGCUAGGCAUCUUUUUGUCGUAGUCCAUAGUAAUCAUUUGUAUGUUACCGGUUGAAGAAUUAUAGGCAACGACAAGGGUCAUAAAGUUUCUCAUCUCUAAUAGGUUUUUCAAAUUCUAUCAUCCCGUUUACCCCUUGCCCUCCAACAAAGGAUAUUAGCAAAAACAAAAUCUAAAUAGAAAAAAAUAUUUAAUCUGAAGUGCCACGCUACUGUCCAUGUUCCCCCCCAAAAAAAAGUAGAGCAGGUUUUCACUGAAAAAAUAGAAGACGUUGAUAGGGAAGAAAUUAACUUAAAACGGUAAAAGUCCAAAUUAUGGAAAGCAGAAGCGGAGGAGAGAAAAUAGAGCAUCGAAAAUAAACAUAGUAGGGAGAAAAGAUAGAAGUAGAUACUUUGAGCGUAGAGGGGAGGGUGAGGCGGGAGCGAGGUGAAGGGCCGAUGGUUCGCAGAGUGAUGUCAACCAUUUUUUCAUCUUCUUCGAUGAGAUCCGCCAUUACUGCAAUCAAUUGUUGUACCUCAAUGCUACAAAUCAGACAGAUGCUACAAUCAGGAGUUGGUGGUAUUGUAAUUCGAUUUGGCCUUGGCCUUCGAAUUGGGGAGAAUUUUGGAGAGGCCUUUUGAUCAGGCAGCCACCAGUAAAUUUCAAAGGAAUUAUCCAACUUCCCAAUUCCCGUUAAAU
rnacentral:lncRNA from 1 species